rnacentral:rRNA from 1 species
GCUUCCCUAUUACAUGCAAGUCGAGCGAACAGAAACGUACGUUCUUCCGUUUGUCGUUAGGGGCAGGCGUGUGUGUCACUGUGGUACAACUUACCUUAUAUGUUUGGGAACAUUUCGGGAAAACCGGGGAUUCAUACUGAAUAAUCUUUUUUGAUUCAUAGAAAAAGACUUAAAGAUGGUUUUGGCUGUCGGUCUCGGAUGGGCCCGCGGCGCAUUAUUUAGUUGGUGAGGUACCGGCUCACCAAGGCGACGAUGCGUAGCCGCCUUGAGAGGGUGAUCGGCCACAGUGUGACUGAGACACGGCCCAGACUCCUACGGGAGGCAGCAGUAGUGAUUCUUCCACAAUGGGCGAAAGCAUGAUGGAGCAACGCCGCGUGAGUGAAGAAGGUUUUCGGAUCGUAAAAUUCUGUUGUAAGGGAAGAACAAGUACAGUAGUAACUGGCUGUACCUUGACGGUACCUUAUUAGAAAGCCACGGCUAACUACGUGCCAGCAGCCGCGGUAAUACGUAGGUGGCAAGCGUUGUCCGGAAUUAUUGGGCGUAAAGCGCGCGCAGGCGGUCCUUUAAGUCUGAUGUGAAAGCCCACGGCUCAACCGUGGAGGGUCAUUGGAAACUGGGGGACUUGAGUGCAGAAGAGGAAAGUGGAAUUCCAAGUGUAGCGGUGAAAUGCGUAGAGAUUUGGAGGAACACCAGUGGCGAAGGCGACUUUCUGGUCUGUAACUGACGCUGAGGCGCGAAAGCGUGGGGAGCAAACAGGAUUAGAUACCCUGGUAGUCCACGCCGUAAACGAUGAGUGCUAAGUGUUAGGGGGUUUCCGCCCCUUAGUGCUGCAGCUAACGCAUUAAGCACUCCGCCUGGG